GUACUGACGCUGAGAUGCGAAGCGUGGGGAGCAAACAGGAUUAGAUACCUGGUAGUCCACGCUGUAAACGAUGUCGAUUUGGAGUUUGGGGGCAUGACCCUUGGGCUCCGGAGCUAACGCGUUAAAUCGACCGCUGGGGAGUACGGCCGCAAGGUUAAAACUCAAAUGAAUUGACGGGGGCCCGCACAAGCGGUGGAGCAUGUGGUUUAAUUCGAUGCAACGCGAAGAACCUUACCUGGUCUUGACAUCCAUAGAAUCUUUCAGAGAUGAGAGAGUGCCUUCGGGAGCUAUGAGACAGGUGCUGCAUGGCUGUCGUCAGCUCGUGUUGUGAAAUGUUGGGUUAAGUCCCGCAACGAGCGCAACCCCUAUCCUUUGUUGCCAGCACGUAAUGGUGGGAACUCAAAGGAGACUGCCGUUGAUAAAGCGGAGGAAGGUGGGGACGACGUCAAGUCAUCAUGGCCCUUACGACCAGGGCUACACACGUGCUACAAUGGCGUAUACAAAGGGAUGCGAAGGUGCGAACUGGAGCGGACCUCACAAAGUACGUCUAGGUCCGGAUUGGAGUCUGCAACUCGACUCCAUGAAGUCGGAAUCGCUAGUAAUCGUGAAUCAGAAUGUCACGGUGAAUACGUUCCCGGGCCUUGUACACACCGCCCGUCACACCAUGGGAGUGGGUUGCACCAGAAGUAGAUAGCUUAACCUUCGGGAGGGCGUUUACCACGGUGUGGUUCAUGACCGGGGUGAAGUCGUAACAAGGUAACCA
rnacentral:rRNA from 1 species